rnacentral:rRNA from 1 species
UACGGAGGGUGCGAGCGUUGUCCGGAAUCACUGGGCGUAAAGGGCGCGUAGGUGGCGCGUGACGUCAACGGUGAAAGCUCAGGGCUCAACCCUGAGUCGGCCGUCGAUACUCCCGGGCUCGAGCACUGUAGAGGCAGGUGGAAUUCCGGGUGUAGCGGUGGAAUGCGUAGAGAUCCGGAAGAACACCGGUGGCGAAGGCGGCCUGCUGGGCAGUUGCUGACACUGAGGCGCGACAGCGUGGGGAGCAAACAGG